rnacentral:misc_RNA from 1 species
UUUCCGUAGGUGAACCUGCGGAAGGAUCAUUAACGAGUUAGGGUCUUUUAGGCCCGACCUCCCAACCCUAUGUUUAUUGAACCUCUGUUGCUUCGGCGGACCCGUCUCACGGCCGCCGGAGAACCGCUGCGAGGCGUCCUCUGGCCAGCGUCCGCCGAUGGCCAACCCAUUAAACUCUGAAUGAAUCGUGUCAUAUGUCUAAGUCUAUGAUUAAAUUAAAGCAAAACUUUCAACAACGGAUCUCUUGGUUCUG